rnacentral:rRNA from 1 species
UACGUAGGGUGCGAGCGUUAAUCGGAAUUACUGGGCGUAAAGCGUGCGCAGGCGGUCCGCAAAGUCUGAUGUGAAAAGCCCCGGGCUCAACCUGGGAACUGCAUUGGAAACUAACGGGCUUGAGUGUGGCAGAGGGGGUGGAAUUCCACGUGUAGCAGUGAAAUGCGUAGAGAUGUGGAGGAACACCGAUGGCGAAGGCAGCUCCCUGGGCUAACACUGACGCUCAGGCACGAAAGCGUGGGGAGCAAACAGG